UAUUGUGAGGUCGUGGAGUUCAAAACUUUUACUUUGAGAAAAUUAGAGUGUUUCAAGCAGGCUUACCGCCUUGAAUACUACAGCAUGGAAUAAUACUAUAGGACUUUGGUUCUAUUUUAUUGGUUUCUAGGACUAAAGUAAUGAUUAAUAGGGAUAGUUGGGGGCAUUCGUAUUUGUACUGUCAGAGGUGAAA
rnacentral:rRNA from 1 species